UAUUGAGUAGGAACUGUUGUCUGAUUACUUGAUAAUUUCUUGGUUGACUGAGUUGAUAUUAGUUAUGUUUUUGGCUUGUUGUGAAGUGAAUUGAUUGUGAUGUGUUGUGAAGUGAAUUGAUUGUGAUUAAGGAUUGAUGACUCUUGUAUGGAUAUUGUGUGAUCGGAAAAGCUGAGCCGGUCGGAUAGCUACCCGAGUAUGUGAGAUGGCAAGACUGAGCCGGGCGGAUAGUCUUGUCAAGUGUUUACUGAAAUUUGAAAAUGUGAGGAAAUGUAAGGAUGAGUCAUCUGAUCCUAAUUUGAUAGAAAUAAUAUGGAAUUGAAUUAUUUGACUUGGUUGAGUUUGAGAUUAUUUGCAUUAUGUGAGAUGAAAUUAUUUUUUAUGAGAAUAAUUGAAAUGGUUGAUUUUGUGAUUGUUAGUUAAGUGUUGG
rnacentral:lncRNA from 1 species